rnacentral:rRNA from 1 species
UACAGAGGUCCCAACCGUUGUUCGGAUUCAUUGGGCGUAAAGGGUGCGUAGGCGGCGGGGCAAGUCAGGUGUGAAAUCUCGGGGCUCAACCCCGAAACUGCACUUGAUACUGCCUUGCUCGAGUACUGGAGAGGAGACUGGAAUUUACGGUGUAGCAGUGAAAUGCGUAGAUAUCGUAAGGAAGACCAGUGGCGAAGGCGAGUCUCUGGACGGUUACUGACGCUGAGGCACGAAGGCCAGGGGAGCAAACGGG